GCCUCGGUAGCGCAGUAGGGAGCGCGUCAGUCUCAUAGCCAUAUAAAGGGCGAUCUGAAGGUCGUGAGUUCGAUCCUCACCCGGGCA
rnacentral:tRNA from 1 species